GAACGAACGCUGGCGGCAGGCCUAACACAUGCAAGUCGAACGCCCGUAGCAAUACGGGAGUGGCAGACGGGUGAGUAACGCGUGGGAACGUGCCCUUCGGUUCGGAAUAACUCAGGGAAACUUGAGCUAAUACCGGAUACGUCCGUAAGGAGAAAGAUUUAUCGCCGAAGGAUCGGCCCGCGUCGGAUUAGCUAGUUGGUGAGGUAACGGCCCACCAAGGCGACGAUCCGUAGCUGGUCUGAGAGGANGAUCAGCCACACUGGGACUGAGACACGGCCCAGACUCCUACGGGAGGCAGCAGUGGGGAAUAUUGGACAAUGGGCGAAAGCCUGAUCCAGCCGAUGCCGCGUGGAGUCGAAGAAGGCCUUAGGGUUGUAAAGCUCUUUCAGCGGGAAGA
rnacentral:rRNA from 1 species